CGUUCUGUAAGCCUGCGAAGGUGUGCUGUGAGGCAUGCUGGAGGUAUCAGAAGUGCGAAUGCUGACAUAAGUAACGAUAAAGCGGGUGAAAAGCCCGCUCGCCGGAAGACCAAGGGUUCCUGUCCAACGUUAAUCGGGGCAGGGUGAGUCGACCCCUAAGGCGAGGCCGAAAGGCGUAGUCGAUGGGAAACAGGUUAAUAUUCCUGUACUUGGUGUUACUGCGAAGGGGGGACGGAGAAGGCUAUGUUGGCCGGGCGACGGUUGUCCCGGUUUAAGCGUGUAGGCUGGUUUUCCAGGCAAAUCCGGAAAAUCAAGGCUGAGGCGUGAUGACGAGGCACUACGGUGCUGAAGCAACAAAUGCCCUGCUUCCAGGAAAAGCCUCUAAGCAUCAGGUAACAUCAAAUCGUACCCCAAACCGACACAGGUGGUCAGGUAGAGAAUACCAAGGCGCUUGAGAGAACUCGGGUGAAGGAACUAGGCAAAAUGGUGCCGUAACUUCGGGAGAAGGCACGCUGAUAUGUAGGUGAAGUCCCUCGCGGAUGGAGCUGAAAUCAGUCGAAGAUACCAGCUGGCUGCAACUGUUUAUUAAAAACACAGCACUGUGCAAACACGAAAGUGGACGUAUACGGUGUGACGCCUGC
rnacentral:rRNA from 1 species